UUUCCGUAGGUGAACCUGCGGAAGGAUCAUUAGCGAAGCUCGGAACGUGUCGCCGUGCACUGAAGCUGGCCGGAAACGGCAUGUGCUCGUCCGGUGCGCGUCCCUUCUCUAUCCACCCCUUUGUGAACCGAGCAUGCAGAUCGAGGAGAGAUCCGAGGUCUGCACGCACACCUUUACAUACCCCAAUCAAGUAACAGAAUGUGACAUGCGAUGAAUCGCACAAAUACAACUUUCAACAACGGAUCUCUUGGCUCUCGCAUCGAUGAAGAACGCAGC
rnacentral:misc_RNA from 1 species